UACGGAGGAUCCAAGCGUUAUCCGGAUUUAUUGGGUUUAAAGGGUGCGCAGGCGGGUUGAUAAGUCAGCGGUGAAAGUUUGCAGCUUAACUGUAAAAUUGCCGUUGAAACUGUCGAUCUUGAGUGCAAAUGAGGUAAGCGGAAUGUGUUGUGUAGCGGUGAAAUGCUUAGAUAUAACACAGAACACCGAUUGCGAAGGCAGCUUACUGGGAUGCAACUGACGCUCAUGCACGAAAGCGUGGGGAUCAAACAGG
rnacentral:rRNA from 1 species